AUUGAACGCUGGCGGCAGGCCUAACACAUGCAAGUCGAACGAGUGGCGGACGGGUGAGUAAUGUCUGGGAAACUGCCUGAUGGAGGGGGAUAACUAGUGGAAACGGUAGAUAAUACCGCAUACCAUCAGAUGUGCCCAGAUGGGAUUAGCUAGGUGGGGGGGUAGCGGCUCACCAAGGCGACGAUCCCUAGCUGGUCUGAGAGGAUGACCAUCCACACUGGCACUGAUGCACGGUGCAGACUCCUACUGGAGGCAGCAGUGGGGAUUAUUGCACAAUGGGCGCAAGCCGGAUGCAGCCAUGCCGCGUGUAUGAAGAAGUCCUUCGGUUUGUAAAGUACUUUCAGCGGGGAGGCGUUACCCGCAGAAGAAGCACCGGCUAACUCCGUGCCAGCAGCCGCGGUAAUUG
rnacentral:rRNA from 1 species